CCUACGGGCCGCACCAGUGGGGAAUAUUGCACAAUGGGCGCAAGCCUGAUGCAGCCAUGCCGCGUGUAUGAAGAAGGCCUUCGGGUUGUAAAGUACUUUCAGCGGGGAGGAAGGCGUUAAGGUUAGUAACCUUGUCGAUUGACGUUACCCGCAGAAGAAACACCGGCUAACUCCGUGCCAGCAGCCGCGGUAAUACGGAGGGUGCAAGCGUUAAUCGGAAUUACUGGACGUAAAGCGCACGCAGGCGGUCUGUCAAGUCGGAUGUGAAAUCCCCGGGCUCAACCUGGGAACUGCAUUCGAAACUGGCAGGCUAGAGUCUUGUAGAGGGGGGUAGAAUUCCAGGUGUAGCGGUGAAAUGCGUAGAGAUCUGGAGGAAUACCGGUGGCGAAGGCGGCCCCCUGGACAAAGACUGACGCUCAGGUGCGAAAGCGUGGGGAGCAAACAGGAUUAGAUACCCCUGUAGUC
rnacentral:rRNA from 1 species